GACGAACGCUGGCGGCGUGCCUAAUACAUGCAAGUUGAGCGAUGAAGAUUGGUGCUUGCCCCAAUUUGAAGAGCAGCGAACGGGUGAGUAACGCGUGGGGAAUCUGCCUUUGAGCGGGGGACAACAUUUGGAAACGAAUGCUAAUACCGCAUAACAACUUUAAACAUAAGUUUUAAGUUUGAAAGAUGCAAUUGCAUCACUCAAAGAUGAUCCCGCGUUGUAUUAGCUAGUUGGUGAGGUAAAGGCUCACCAAGGCGAUGAUACAUAGCCGACCUGAGAGGGUGAUCGGCCACAUUGGGACUGAGACACGGCCCAAACUCCUACGGGAGGCAGCAGUAGGGAAUCUUCGGCAAUGGACGAAAGUCUGACCGAGCAACGCCGCGUGAGUGAAGAAGGUUUUCGGAUCGUAAAACUCUGUUGGUAGAGAAGAACGGUGGUGAGAGUGGAAAGCCCAUCAAGUGACGGUAACUACCCAGAAAGGGACGGCUAACUACGUG
rnacentral:rRNA from 1 species